ensembl:lncRNA
UCUCAACCCCACCAGACAGGAAGCCACACAGUCACUUCUGGAGGGGAAUAGUCCUGUGAGCUGGGGAUGGAGGGCUGGGAGAGAUGGUGCAGACUGGGACCGGCCACUCCUUGGACGCCUGUGGUGGAGGGUCCUGUCCUUUACCAUGGCCACCAUACCUCUGGGUGUGGACAGCAUCUGCUGAUGGAGGAAUUCCCAGCAAUGUCCCUCUGUGAUGCAUGCGGUGACUUUCCAGGCACCUUCAGACCAGAGCCAGUGGUAGCACUGGCAUCUCAGUCUCCUCCUGUGGGGGCUGGCUCGGCCUGCAGGAUGGCUGGGACACCCUGGACAGCCAGCUCGGGCAUUGUCCUUGCAGAUCCGGGAUGUUCCAGGAACAGCGGUAUAAAUCCUGUUGAGAACUGGCCAGGAGAGACCAGGAUCGGACAUCGGUGGUAUUUGGCCCCUCUGGACACCGGUCUGCAGAAGGAGAGAGGCCACCCUGACGGUAUUCCAGGGCUAGGCCACCCUGACGGUAUUCUGGGGCUCUGGGUAGACUGGUCCCGGUCGGGCCUUAUCGCCAAUCAGCCGACCCGAAGGAGUUUAUCGGGAAAGCCUCUAGAGGUUAUUUGGAAGUGUGUUAUUUAGUUUCCAAAUGCUUGAGGAUUUUGCAGAGAUCUUUCUGUUAUUGAUCUUUAAUUCUUCUAAGAUCAAAGAACAUACCUUUUAAAUUCUUUGAGACUUGAGUAGCAGUUCUGAGCUGUCUGAGGCGAGAGCUGACCUCAGGGGAUGAUAGCAAUCUAUAGGGGAGCUAUGGCAAGAUGUGCUACACCAAAAUAAAUGAUCAAACUCAGGAAGAGGAAGACGUGGUAUAAAGGAAAUCCAGACUCCAACAAAGGACAAAAACAAGGAAUCUCCAGCCUGAUGGUACAGCGAGAUCCCAGGAUGGCAACUGCACAUGGGAAUAAAAAGACCACCAGCCUUUCAAAAUGCAGCAGUGGAUACAAGAGACAUUCUGCUGCUGAGGAGCUCAACCAAAUGACAUCUGAAGAUGUUGCAACCACAGGUCACAAUGACUCAACUUUUACAAGCAAAUAAAAAGAAAAAGGGCUCUGUCAAAAACCAUUUUCUAUAAUUUUUUUGGAAAAAUCAUUUCAUAAUUAAAUCAUGGUUUGGG